GCGGGUUUAGCUCAGUUGGGAGAGCGUCAGACUGAAGUAACACUUCAAUCAGCAGAUUCAUCUGCAAUCUGAAGGUCAUGUGUUCGAUCCACAUAAACCGCA